rnacentral:rRNA from 1 species
AGAGUUUGAUCCUGGCUCAGAAUGAACGCUGGCGGCAUGGAUUAGGCAUGCAAGUCGAACGGUGAACUGGGAGCUUGCUCCUGGGGAUCAGUGGCGCAAGGGUGAGUAACACGUGAGUAACCUACCCCCGAGUCCGGGAUAGCCCUGGGAAACUGGGAUUAAUACCGGAUGUGGUUUUCUGGCGCAUGUCAGAUGUACUAAAGAUUCAUUGUUCGGGGAUGGGCUCGCGCCCUAUUAGCUAGUUGGUGAGGUAACGGCUCACCAAGGCUAUGACAGGUAGCUGGUCUGAGAGGAUGGUCAGCCACACUGGGACUGAGACACUGCCCAGACUCCUACGGGAGGCUGCAGUCGAGAAUCUUCCGCAAUGGGCGAAAGCCUGACGGAGCGAUGCCGCGUGAGGGAUGACGGCCUUCGGGUUGUAAACCUCUGUCAGAGGGGACGAAGAAUGUGACGGUACCCUCAGAGGAAGCCACGGCUAACUACGUGCCAGCAGCCGCGGUAAUACGUAGGUGGCGAGCGUUAUUCGGAUUUACUGGGCGUAAAGGGUCCGCAGGGGGUUUGCCAAGUCUGAUGUGAAAUCCCGCGGCUCAACCGCGGAACUGCAUUGGAUACUGGUGAACUAGAGUUCGCGAGGGGUGAGCGGAAUUCCUGGUGUAGCGAUGGAAUGCGUAGAUAUCAGGAAGAACACCGAUGGCGAAGGCGGCUCACUGGCGUGCAACUGACCCUCAUGGACGAAAGCGUGGGUAGCGAACAGGAUUAGAUACCCUGGUAGUCCACGCCGUAAACGUUGUGCACUAGAUGUGGGCGGAUCUGAUCCCGUCCGUGUCCCAGCUAACGCGUUAAGUGCACCGCCUGGGGACUACGGCCUCAAGGCUAAAACUCAAAGGAAUUGACGGGGGCCCGCACAAGCGGUGGAGCAUGUGGCUCAAUUCGAGGCAACGCGAAGAACCUUACCUGGGCUUGACAUAUACUGGACAGGCCGUGAAAGCGGUUUUCCCUUCGGGGCCGGUAUACAGGUGCUGCAUGGCUGUCGUCAGCUCGUGUCGUGAGAUGUUCGGUUAAGUCCGGCAACGAGCGCAACCCGUGUCGUCAGUUACCAUCGGGUAAUGCCGGGGACUCUGGCGAGACUGCCCGUGUCAAGCGGGAGGAAGGCGCGGACGACGUCAAGUCCGUAUGGCCCUUACGCCCAGGGCUGCACACGUGCUACAAUGGACGGUACAAUGGGAUGCGAAAUCGCGAGGUGGAGCAAAUCCGCAAAAACCGUCCUCAGUUCGGAUUGGAGUCUGCAACUCGACUCCAUGAAGUCGGAAUCGCUAGUAAAGGGGUAUCAGCAAUGGCCCCUUGAAUACGUUCCCGGGCCUUCUACACACCGCCCGUCACAUCAUGGAAGCUGGCUGCACCCGAAGUCGCUGCUCGAACCCCUCGGGGACGAAGGCGCCGAAGGUGUGUCCAGUGACUGGGAUGGAGUCGGAACAAGGUA